rnacentral:rRNA from 1 species
CCCUUAGAUGUUCUGGGCCGCACGCGCGCUACACUGUUCGACGCAGCGAGUCUUAACCUUGACCGAAAGGUUUGGGUAAUCUUCAGCAAAGUCGAACGUGAUGGGGAUCGAUCAUUGCAAUUAUUGAUCGUGAACGAGGAAUUCCUAGUAAGUGCAAGUCAUCAGCUUGCGCUGAUUACGUCCAUGCCCUUUGUACACACCGCCCGUCGCUACUACCGAUUGAAUGGUUUAGUGAGAUCUCUGGAUUGACGCUGGCUAGGGGGCGACCCUUGGCCAGACUGUUGAGAAACUGCUCAAACUUGAUCAUUUAGAGGAAGUAAAAGUCGUAACA